GAUCAUGGCUCAGGAUGAACGCUAGCGGCAGGCUAACACAUGCAAGUCGAGGGGCAGCGUGGAGUAGCAAUACUCUGACGGCGACCGGCGAAAGGGUGAGUAACGCGUGAGCAACAUGCCCGUAGUUGGGGGAUAGUCGAUGGAAACGUCGCGUAAUACCCCGUAACAACAGAGGCCGCAUGACCUUUGUUUAAGAGAUUUAUUGUCUACGGAUUGGCUCGCGUACCAUUAGCUAGUUGGCGGGGUAACGGCCCACCAAGGCGACGAUGGUUAGGGGUUCUGAGAGGAAGGUCCCCCCACAUUGGAACUGAGACACGGUCCAGACUCCUACGGGAGGCAGCAGUGAGGAAUAUUGGUCAAUGGCCGAGAGGCUGAACCAGCCAUGCCGCGUGCGGGAUGACGGCCCUAUGGGUUGUAAACCGCUUUUGUUGGGGAGCAAUAAGGUUCACGUGUGGACUGAUGAGAGUACCCAGCGAAUAAGCAUCGGCUAACUCCGUGCCAGCAGCCGC
rnacentral:rRNA from 1 species